rnacentral:lncRNA from 1 species
UUGGGUCGGCCAUCGUCCCACUUGAUCGAUGCGUCCAAGCACGGCUACUGCUUGUGCACAGUCGACGAUGUCGCCAUUUCCCUUUCUCCCUUCCCGGCCUUGGAGCUGCCGCCGACCGAUGGAUUCUGUGCUUGCAUGCGUGUGGGUCACAAGACUUGAUGUCACAUCCGAUCGUUCGUCGCAUUUCUGUGGGUCUAAAAGCAAAUAGAACGGAUUGCCGAAU